UGUUGUCUGAAUGGCCGAGCUUCCAGUGGAUUGUGGGGUUUACUAACAAGCUGAUUGGCUGCUGCUGUGGCGGCCAUGAUUUGUGAAGCGACCGAGUGAGUGGUGUGUAGUCUGCGUGAAGACGACGAACAUUCUCCAGACAACGAUCUCGUGAUGUUUGUGAUUGUUUGAUGGUUGUCUCCAUCUAAGAAAAGUCUAUAUGUCUUUGUUGAGAAGAGAGAGGUCAAAGUCAUGAUACUCCACGCAUAUAUCACAAGUCUACGGGCUCUUCUACGAUUCUUGAAGACUUCUUGACACAACAUUCCAUAACCAGACCUUGUGACGAAAAUACUACUCGGGGGACAGGUGUUCCGCAUCUCUUGGUUGUGGGUCGUAGUUCGUUUUCUGGUCUUCCUCGCUCUAGGUUAUUUGAAAGCAAACCUCAUCUGAUGGCGCUGAGAUUGUGUAGCACUGAGCUUUGACUAUAUAGAGUUACAUCCAAUCAUGCAUCGUGCUAAGGUGGUUUGUUAACCAGCAUGGACUAGUUCACAGUGUAUUUGUGCAUGUAAUUUUAUCCGUUUGGUUUGUAAAAUGCGCUACUUGGGAAACGCAUAAUCCCUGUGGUUUUUUUUUGCUUUUUCACAUUGUUGGGAUAGCUAUACUUGAACUCGCUUGAAUAAUUGCGAUGCAAACUUCUUUGCUAACGAUAUUCAAAGUCGAACUCGAAGACAAUAAUCAUUUGAUGAAGGCUGACCUACGUGAAUGGUGGAAAAAAAGCCUCCCGAAACUAUAAAUAUAGAUAAGUUUUCACCAACUAAAAUUAUGAAUUUGACCCCGUGGUUUUUUUCACGCUCCGAUCAUGAAAGCAAGUUAAACGAACUAGGAAAAGAUUAAGGGUUCGCUCAGCUGUGACAAACAACUUAAUCCAAUGAAAUAAAACUGGAAAACUUUGAGGAGCAUUAAGAAGGAAAGACUCUCAGAAUCUACAAUCAUGCAGCGAAAGGCAGGCUUUUCCCGGCUCUCAGUCAUCAAAGAGAAAGAGAACAACAAUAAUAAGACUGGUUCAAAAAUUCAAAAUAAAAAAAGAGGCGUCACAACGCCAUUGCUGAAAUUUCAAAAUCUUGUUUCGACUAUAACCAUGACCCGCGCCUUGCUCAACCGAAGUCAAAUACGCAAGCAAAAUACGUGUGAGGACUCAGGCGAGUUUUAUAUGAGCCAUGCUACGUCACCUGACGACGACGAU
rnacentral:lncRNA from 1 species